CAAGAGCGUAUAUUAAAGUUGUUGCAGUUAAAAAGCUCGUAGUUGGAUUUCUGGUACAAUGCGCCUGGCCCGCGACCGUUAGGUCUGUGAGUGCCGGUGCGCGUUUGCCAUCCUUCUAGAAAACGUUUCUACCCUUCACUGGGCCGGACUCGCGAUCUAGAUCUUUUACUUUGAAAAAAUUAGAGUGUUUAAAGCAGGCUUUUGCUGUGAAUACAUUAGCAUGGAAUAAUAAUCUAGGACUUCGGUUCUAUUUUGUUGGUUUCUAGUACUGAAGUAAUGAUUGAUAGGGAUAGUUGGGGGUGUUAGUAUUGGCCGGCCAGAGGUGAAAUUCUUGGAUUCGGUCAAGACUAACUUAUGCGAAAGCAUUCACCAAGGAUGUCUUCUUUAA
rnacentral:rRNA from 1 species